UACGUAGGGGGCGAGCGUUGUCCGGAGUUACUGGGCGUAAAGCGCUUGUAGGCGGUCCACCAAGUCUGGGGUGACAGUUGCCGACUUAAUCGGCAAAGUGCCUCAAAGACUGGCGGACUUGAGGGCCACAGAGGGACAUGGAACUCCAGGUGUAGUGGUGAAAUGCGUAGAUAUCUGGAAGAACACCAAAGGCGAAGGCAGUGUCCUGGGUGGUCGCUGACGCUGAGAGGCGAAAGCCAGGGGAGCGAACGGG
rnacentral:rRNA from 1 species